GUGUUGUAUGGAAGGAGAUAAAGUUAGCACUCCCCUUGACAAGGAUGGAAAAGGCCCAUAGGCCUAACAAUAUGUCUAUGGAUAAGGUAUUGCCACCUACUUUGUGGCAUCUAACCACUGCUUUUA